rnacentral:rRNA from 1 species
UACGAAGGGGACUAGCGUUGUUCGGAAUCACUGGGCGUAAAGCGCACGUAGGCGGAUUUGUAAGUCAGGGGUGAAAUCCCGGGGCUCAACCUCGGAACUGCUUUUGAUACUGCAUGGCUGGAAUCAGGAUGAGGUCAGCGGAAUGUGGCAUGUAGCGGUGAAAUGCAUAGAUAUGCCAUAGAACACCAAUUGCGAAGGCAGCUGGCUAGACCUGUAUUGACGCUGAGGCACGAAAGCGUGGGGAGCGAACAGG